AGACGAUGGCUGAUGCUGCUACUGGAAUUAAAUCAUUUGGUGGUCCACGGGUCUGCUGUACCUGAGGUGUGGAUUUCAUAUUGAGUAUCUGGCAAGCGAAACACAAAGUACAGGUAUGUUGCGAGGAGACAGUUUCUGCCCUGAUGGUCUUUUGCCAGCUCCUGACUGUUGUGAAGACUGUUGAUGACCGACACCACUGACUCAAACGCAAUUUGGGCCAGAUUUGCUGCAAAAAACAAGAUU
ensembl:processed_transcript